CCUGUGUUUACUUGUCUCCUAAACGCUCUUAAAACUUUACCGUUGAAUAUCUUGUCAAAACACGAAGUCUUUGGUAGUUUAACACAUAAACCGGGAAGACUGCGACGAAGUUGAAGAUUCUACCGUUUUAUUUUUUUCCUUUUCAUCGACUAAGUGGUAGAAAUUCUAAUUUUUCGUAUUGUUUUGUCGUUCAUCGCGCGUGGUGGUUAUCAUUUGGAAUUUCGAAACGGACAAGUUUAGGAGUGGGCAUCGUGUUUUCAAGGCAAACUAAGUUCUGGAGUCCAUCGUUGUUCGUUUGAAAGUUAUUCACAUUUUUGGACGCGCGCUCAAGAUACCAUGGAGGAGUGAAAUAUAUCGACUGAUGUAAUGUACUCAGAGCAGCUCGAAAGAACAGCAAGCACACAAUGCACGAGGCAACGGCGUAACAUGUUCAGACAUGUGGGAUGUGGAAAGAUGAGUAGUUGGAGGCUGGAAGACAUUUGGAAGAUUUUGUAGACACAACUGGCAUUCUCUUGGUAGAUCAUAAAUUGGUAGCUCCUCCCCAUAGUUCCACACCUUUAGUGCCGCUAGCGGCAUGAGUCUUGGAACUUGUCCAUCAGGUGUACAGGUAACUCCCUCAAUUACUGUUGGGUUGAAUGACCUCUGUCCCUCCAGUGCAGAUGUUCCCUUGGCAGAAGCCUUCCAUUGAAGUUUAAGUUUGCGACCAUCUGCUUUUAGUGACUGAAUUGUUUCUGAUCUGACUGGAAUUUCAAGAAGCUUUAAAACUGAAUGCCAGAAAGGACUUUGGUAUCUCUGAUCAGCUCCCAUUCCAAACAACUUGGGAAAAGUUAACCACUCUGCUGCAUGAUCUUUGAUUACUUUAAUUGCUU